UACGUAGGGUGCAAGCGUUAUCCGGAAUUAUUGGGCGUAAAGAGCUCGUAGGCGGUUUGUCACGUCUGCUGUGAAAACUGGAGGCUCAACCUCCAGCCUGCAGUGGGUACGGGCAGACUAGAGUGCGGUAGGGGAGACUGGAAUUCCUGGUGUAGCGGUGAAAUGCGCAGAUAUCAGGAGGAACACCGAUGGCGAAGGCAGGUCUCUGGGCCACUACUGACGCUGAGGAGCGAAAGCGUGGGGAGCGAACAGG
rnacentral:rRNA from 1 species